rnacentral:rRNA from 1 species
UACGUAGGGUGCGAGCGUUAAUCGGAAUUACCGGGCGUAAAGCGUGCGCAGGCGGUUUUGUAAGCCAGAUGUGAAAUCCCCGGGCUUAACCUGGGAAUGACAUUUGGGACUGCAAGGCUCGAGUGCGGCAGAGGAGACUGGAAUUCCUGGUGUAGCAGUGAAAUGCGUAGAUAUCAGGAGGAACACCGAUGGCGAAGGCAGGUCUCUGGGCUGGCACUGACGCUCAUGCACGAAAGCGUGGGGAGCAAACAGG